rnacentral:rRNA from 1 species
AUGACCACGGCGUUGCGGUUCGUGUCAGGAUCCUGGGGCCAGACGGCUCAGGCGGCGGCCGGCGUCGUCUGUGGGAAAGGGUUCGUGCAGGGCAUCGUGACGUACACGGUGAUGGACGACCUCAGCGUGAACCCCAUGUCAUCCAUCUCCAGCAUCGCGCUGCUCAACGCCUUCGCCGUCAAGGACCUCGGCGCGCUCCAGGAGAAGACCGUGCAGCUCGGCUACAAGGAGGGUCUGGCGAUUCUCAGGGCGUCGCUGCAGUCCAAGACCGUCCUCACCGACGUCUUCCUCGCCAAGACGCAACUCCCAGGCCGCGCUUGA